GACGAACGCUGGCGGCGUGGAUUAGGCAUGCAAGUCGAACGGUAUCAUCCUUUCGGGGGUGAGAGAGUGGCGAACUGGUGAGUAACACGUAGGUUAUCUACCCUCAAGACGGGGACAACCCAGGGAAACUUGGGCUAAUACCGGAUGUGAGCAACUUUUAGUUGUUUGAAAGGUGGCGUAAGCUGUCGCUUGGGGAUGAGCCUGCGUCCUAUUAGUUAGUUGGUGAGGUAACGGCUCACCUAGGCAAUGAUAGGUAGGCGGCCUUAACGGGUGGUCGCCCACACUGGGAUUGAGAUACGGCCCAGACUCCUACGGGAGGCAGCAGUCGAGAAUAGUCUACAAUGGUCGGAAGACUGAUAGUGCGACGCCGCGUGAACGAUGAAUCCCUUCGGGGUGUAAAGUUCUUUUAUAUGUGAGCAGUGCUUCUUAUAUUAACAGUAUGGGGAAGAGAUAUUAGCAUAUGAAUAAGCAACGGCUAAACUCCGUGCCAGCAGCCGACGGUAAUA
rnacentral:rRNA from 1 species